rnacentral:rRNA from 1 species
CAGUCGCCGCGGGAAUACGAAGGGUGCAAGCGUUACUCGGAAUUAUUGGGCGUAAAGCGUGCGUAGGUGGUGGUUUAAGUCCGUUGUGAAAGCCCUGGGCUCAACCUGGGAAUUGCAGUGGAUACUGGGUCACUAGAGUGUGGUAGAGGAUAAUGGAAUUUCCGGUGUAGCAGUGAAAUGCGUAGAGAUCGGAAGGAACAUCUGUGGCGGAGGCGGCCAUCUGGGACAACACUGACGCUGAGGCACGAAAGCGUGGGGAGCAAACAGGAUUAGAUACCCCCGUAGUCCCUGUCUCUUAUAC